rnacentral:sRNA from 1 species
ACUCAACAUUAAACAAUUCAGAUGGGCGAAUUGCCACUACUAAAGCACGCCGGCUCGUCCCGGAUCCUUGAACAGCGGGUUAGCCCAAAACUUGUCAUAACGAGUUU